GUUCUGAUGAGGAUGCCAGAACUAAGUUGAGAAUAAAGACUACUCAAACGAGAAACGUGUGGUUCACUGAAAGAAUGAGCAACGAGGCUGAACACGCAACAGGUUAUGGGCCCAGGCACAGCACAGGAGGCCGAUGGCACAGACUGGUUUUCGACGGAGACGAAAACCACUACGAAAUAUGGGAGGUAAAAUUCCUUGCUUACUUGAGAACGCUGGGAUUAAAAGAUACCAUCCUAUCGGCUGAUAACCCAGACCGAGAGAAAAACGAGGAGUGCUAUGCAGAGCUAAUACAGUUCCUCGACGAUAAAAGCCUGUCGUUGGUGAUGAGAGAUGCUGCAGAUAACGGCCGGAAAGCGCUCCAUAUACUACGCGGCCAUUACGCCAGCCACGGUAAACCGAGAAUCAUCGCUCUUUACACAGAGCUCACCUCCCUGUUAAAAGACCCUGGGGAAACAGUGACAGAUUAUAUUUUACGUGCUGAAAAAGCAGCAACGUCUCUGAGAAAUGCAAAUGAGGUGAUAAGUGACGGACUGAUCAUAGCAAUGAUCCUAAAGGGGCUUCCGGAGUCAUACAAGCCUUUUGCUAUUCACACAACUCAGAGCAGUGAAGAAUUAACAUUUAUCCAGUUUAAAAGCAGACUGAGAAGCUACGAAGAGACAGAAAAGUUUGAAAACAAACUGAAGUCAGACAAUGUGAUGAAAGUAGACAUGACAGCUGUAACCUGCUACAAUUGUGGAAAUCGUGGGCAUAUGGCGAGAGACUGCCGUCAAAAGAGUACACCAAAAUGGUGUAACUACCACAGAAGCACAACCCACAGUGAUGAGACAUGCAGAAGAAGAGCCAAACGGAAGGACGACGCCAAGCAGACUUCAGAGAAGCAGGACAACUACGAGGAGGAUCAGACGAUGGUAUUCAAAGCCAGCCAGGAUCUUCUACCUGAUAACAUCAAACUUAAUGGCAUCAUGGUGGACUGUGGAGCCACAUCACAUAUCAUUACAGAUGAGGAGCAGUUCACACAAUUUGACAAGACCUUCGACCCAAAUAAGCACUUUAUGGAGUUGGCGGAUGGAAGCAAGAUGAACAAUGUUGCACUGAAGCGGGGUGAUGCACUGAUUAAGCUGCUGAACUCUGAGGGGAAGUAUGUUAGAGUCACUCUUAAAAAUGCUUUGCUAAUCCCAUCCUAUCCACAGAGCAUUUUUUCAGUGCAAGCAGCUACAGCCCAUGGAGCCAGUGUGACCUUCAUGGAAGGACAAAAUGAACUCCUGUGUAAGGAUGGAACUGUGUUCCCAAUCGAGGUACAUGAGAG
rnacentral:lncRNA from 1 species